GGCUCGGAUCAAGGUCGCUGCUCGGUUGCACGGUAGCAGCAGAAGUAGCAGGGGCUGCUGAAAAAGCGCGCGCGAGGAGAUUCGGGAAGACAGAUGAUGGUGAGAUAGUUUGAGAUCUAGGAUGGUAAGAGGAGAAAGAAGAGGAAGAUAUGGAUCUUCGAGAUGAUGACCAGAGACGACAGAGUAAUGGACCCGCCAUUUCCACCAGAAACGGCAGAGCUUUUAAGAGGUUUUAG
rnacentral:misc_RNA from 1 species